CUGUUGGGUCCCCUCCCCGCCCCACCGCGUCCCAGGGAACCCCGGCAGGGCACCCAGUGAGGGGGGCCCGGGCGUCCGCCCAUUCCUCACUGCUGUCCCCGCCUGUGCCCGAAACCCCCGUUCACGUUCACCGAGAAAACAGACAUAAACCCAGCCAGGCACAUCCACUAGAAUGGCUGUGAUUUCAGAAAAGCGGACGUAAGUGCUGCCGAGGAGAUGGAGGCGUUGGACCCCCUCGCGCAUUGUCGGGGCGGGUGCAGCCGCGGUGCAAAAGGACCUUCCUCAGAAAGUUGAGCACGAAGUUCCCACAGGCCCGGAAGUUCCCCUCCCGGGCGCUCCCCAGAGAGCUGAAGACUGGGCGCGUGCCGGCGGCAAAUGUUCACAGCAAAGGGCGGCCCAGUGCGCAGCUGGAACAUCAGCCCCAGGCGGUCGCUGCGACAGGGACGAGCCUGGGAAACGUGAAAAUGUCCAGAACAGGGAAUCCACAGAUAAAGAAAAGACAUCGUGGUUGCCAGAGCUCGCGGGAGGGGGCAACAGGGACCGACUGCUUAACGUGUAUGGUUCCCCUUCAGGAAUAA
rnacentral:lncRNA from 1 species